rnacentral:rRNA from 1 species
ACUACGGGGUGCAGCAGUGGGGAAUAUUGGACAAUGGGCGAAAGCCUGAUCCAGCCAUGCCGCGUGUGUGAAGAAGGCCUUCGGGUUGUAAAGCACUUUCAGUGGGGAAGAAAGCCUUGGGGCUAAUACCCUCGAGGAAGGACAUCACCCACAGAAGAAGCACCGGCUAACUCCGUGCCAGCAGCCGCGGUAAUACGGAGGGUGCGAGCGUUAAUCGGAAUUACUGGGCGUAAAGCGCGCGUAGGCGGUCUGAUAAGCCGGUUGUGAAAGCCCCGGGCUCAACCUGGGAACGGCAUCCGGAACUGUCAGGCUAGAGUGCAGGAGAGGAAGGUAGAAUUCCCGGUGUAGCGGUGAAAUGCGUAGAGAUCGGGAGGAAUACCAGUGGCGAAGGCGGCCUUCUGGACUGACACUGACGCUGAGGUGCGAAAGCGUGGGUAGCAAACAGGAUUAGAUACCCCAGUAGUC